rnacentral:sRNA from 1 species
CUCAAUUUGGGGCUAUUCAUUGAAUAGACUGUCAACAGGUUAUUGGCUGUUUGAAGAUCCUCAUUUGUCUGCUAACUAUACCUCUAUUUUUUUUUUCUACGUUCACCUGGAAGACAUGUCUUCUUCAAGAGCACCUUGACUCUGUCCAGAAGGAGUUCAUAAUUUUCAACAGAGAAAAUGACAAAUGGACAAAUGGACACAGGACUCAGUGAGACUUUUCAGACCUCGAAAGUUUCAUAAAGUGGUCAGAAUGCCCCAGGCUACUUGGAUAAAGAUAAGGAAUUCUAUCAGGGAGGCACAAAUGGAAUCAGAUUAAAAGUAACAGAGAUGGAUGAGGGCCUUCCAGUGAUGUGCGUGAAUCAGCAUUAGAUCCGCUUAUCUCAGCUGGCAGGAGCCUGCUGUGCACACCACUUCCCAGCUCCCUCUUCAACAAUGUGAAGGUGGUAACUUGAAAUUGGUAAUAAUGGGAGCAUUUACACCACGGAAACUGGUAAAUGCUCGUUUUUUCCCUCCUAACAAGUGAAUUGCUAAAUAUUAGCCCACCACU